rnacentral:rRNA from 1 species
UACGGGGGGGGCAAGCGUUGUUCGGAAUUACUGGGCGUAAAGGGUUCGUAGGUGGCCAACUAAGUCAGACGUGAAAUCCCUCAGCUUAACUGGGGAACUGCGUCUGAGACUGGAUGGCUUGAGUGCAGGAGAGGAACGCGGAAUUCCAGGUGUAGCGGUGAAAUGCGUAGAUAUCUGGAGGAACACCAAUAGCGAAGGCAGCUCGCUGGGACGGUACUGACGCUAAGGCGCGAAAGCGUGGGGAGCGAACAGG